ACUACAUUUGCAGAGUCUGUCUGCCCACGGGCAUCACUCUGUUGUAAACUAUAUUUCUGAGUCUAUAUGCCUUUCGGGCACACUCUUUUUUAUUAUUAUAUAAAGGCAUUCGGCUCUUUCAGCCGACCAGUCACUGUAUAUUUCUUCCAUUCGGCUCUUUCAGUCGACCAGUUAUUGUGUACUUCUUCCAUUCGGCACUUCUGCCGACAUUGAUCUCUGCACAGUUCGUACAUUCGGCUCCUCCAGCCGAACCAAUACUACAGUAAAGGUUUUCGAACUCGGCUGGCUCGAUCCCUUGUCAGCCGAAUCGCUUGAUCUGUCGAAGGGCGCAAACUUCGAGAGUCACUAUCUGCAGCCGCUCCUCACCCCGACGCGCUCCCCGAGGAGGAUCUUUGACCGGGUUAAGGGUCGGGACGAUCGGCAACCAACAGUAUCAAUUGACUCAUUAAAAUUAGGUUAAACAGUUUAUUUAAAAUAUAACUUAAAUAUAUAUGCAUGAUGUGAAUUAAGUUAUUUGAACUAGCACAAAUUUCUAUGCUUUGGCAUCUCGAAUUUUAAAAUAAAUGAUAUAAAGUAUCUAUUUUAGUAUCUUAUUUUAUAAACCACACAGCAGUAAAAUGAUAUAUUUUACUGUUUAUUUUAAUAUUUUAAAAUAAAUAUAUCAUGCUAAAAUACUUUUGUAAAAAAUUUUAGAAGUUCAGGACAAAAUGGACAUUUCGAUCAUAUUUAUAAUAAUCUAAAUAUUUUAUCAUUUUAUAAAGAGAUGAAUAGUAAGGGUAAGGGUAUAUUUGAAAAAUAAUAAGUAUUUGUAGGGAUAAUUGUGAUAUAAUCAAAUUUAUAGGGGCAUCUAUAAUAUUUUUGAAGUUUAGAGGGGCACAAAUA
rnacentral:lncRNA from 1 species